rfam:Oryza meridionalis cultivar OR44 (W2112) chromosome 7, whole genome shotgun sequence.
UUUAAGUGCAACUAUAAGUUUCUGUUCCCAACUUUGAUUGACUGUCUUAUUUGAAAUUUUUUUAUAAUUAGUAUUUUUAUUGUUAUGAGAUGAUAAAACUUAAAUAAUACUUUAUAUGUGACUUAUAUUUUUAAAUUUUUUUAAAAAAAUUUAAAUAAAACGGAUGGUUAGAAUUGCGCACGAAAAAUUAUGGCUGCAGUUGGA